rnacentral:rRNA from 1 species
UACGUAGGGAGCAAGCGUUGUCCGGAAUCAUUGGGCGUAAAGCGCGCGUAGGUGGCCCCAUAAGUCCGCUGUGAAAGUCAAAGGCUCAACCUUUGAAAGCCGGUGGAUACUGUGGGACUAGAGUACGGAAGAGGCGAGUGGAAUUCCUGGUGUAGCGGUGGAAUGCGCAGAUAGUCAGAGGAACACCAAUAGCGAAGGCAGCUCGCUGGGACGUUACUGACACUGAGGCGCGAAAGCGUGGGGAGCGAACAGG